rnacentral:rRNA from 1 species
CCUACGGGUGGCAGCAGUGGGGAAUAUUGCACAAUGGGGGAAACCCUGAUGCAGCGACGCCGCGUGAGUGAAGAAGUAUUUCGGUAUGUAAAGCUCUAUCAGCAGGAACGAGACAAGACGGUAUCUGACUAAGAAGCCCCGGCUAACUACGUGCCAGCAGCCGCGGUAAUACGUAGGGGGAAAGCGUUAUCCGGAAUCACUGGGUGUAAAGGGUGCGUAGGCGGAAUAUCAAGUCAGCGGUAAAAAUUCGGGGCUCAACCCCGUCGUGCCGUUGAAACUGGUGUUCUUGAGUGGGCGAGAGGUAUGUGGAAUGCGUGGUGUAGCGGUGAAAUGCAUAGAUAUCACGCAGAACUCCGAUUGCGAAGGCAGCAUACCGGCGCCCAACUGACGCUGAAGCACGAAAGCGUGGGUAUCGAACAGGAUUAGAUACCCGUGUAGUC